rnacentral:rRNA from 1 species
AUUGAACGCUGGCGGAAUGCUUUACACAUGCAAGUCGAGCGGCAGCACGGGGGUAACCCUGGUGGCGAGCGGCGAACGGGUGAGUAAUACAUCGGAACAUGCCCAGUCGUGGGGGAUAACACUUCGAAAGAAGUGCUAAUACCGCAUACGUCCUGAGGGAGAAAGCGGGGGAUCGCAAGACCUCGCGCGAUUGGAGUGGCCGAUGUCAGAUUAGCUAGUUGGUGGGGUAAAGGCCUACCAAGGCAACGAUCUGUAGCUGGUCUGAGAGGAUGAUCAGCCACACUGGGACUGAGACACGGCCCAGACUCCUACGGGAGGCAGCAGUGGGGAAUUUUGGACAAUGGGGGCAACCCUGAUCCAGCCAUUCCGCGUGAGUGAAGAAGGCCUUCGGGUUGUAAAGCCCUUUCGGCAGGAACGAAACGGUGAGCUCUAACAUAGCUUGCUAAUGACGGUACCUGAAGAAGAAGCACCGGCUAACUACGUG